GAUGAACGCUGGCGGCGUGCCUAAUACAUGCAAGUCGAGCGAACGGACGAGAAGCGUGCUUCUCUGAUGUUAGCGGCGGACGGGUGAGUAACACGUGGAUAACCUACCUAUAAGACUGGGAUAACUUCGGGAGACCGGAGCUAAUACCGGAUAAUAUUUUGAACCGCAUGGUUCAAAAGUGAAAGACGGUCUUGCUGUCACUUAUAGAUGGAUCCGCGCUGCAUUAGCUAGUUGGUAAGGUAACGGCUUACCAAGGCAACGAUGCAUAGCCGACCUGAGAGGGUGAUCGGCCACACUGGAACUGAGACACGGUCCAGACUCCUACGGGAGGCAGCAGUAGGGAAUCUUCCGCAAUGGGCGAAAGCCUGACGGAGCAACGCCGCGUGAGUGAUGAAGGGCUUCGGAUCGUAAAACUCUGUUAUUAGGGAAGAACAUAUGUGUAAGUAACUGUGCACAUCUUGACGGUACCUAAUCAGAAAGCCACGGCUAACUACGUG
rnacentral:rRNA from 1 species